CAAGUGCUACCUCCUGGAGCUUCUCUUGGAAAUGGGCUCACACCAGAGGCCGCAAGAGACCUUGGCCUUCUCCCUGGGAUUGCGGUCGCAGCUUCACUCAUUGAUGCCCAUGCAGGAGGACUAGGAGUGAUUGGGGCAGAUGUGAGAGGGCACGGCCUCGUCUGUGAGGGGCAGCCAGUGACGUCACGGCUGGCUGUCAUCUGUGGAACGUCUUCUUGUCACAUGGGGAUCAGCAAAGACCCGAUUUUUGUACCAGGCGUCUGGGGCCCUUAUUUCUCAGCCAUGUUACCUGGGUUCUGGCUGAAUGAAGGUGGUCAGAGCGUUACUGGAAAAUUGAUAGACCACAUGGUACAAGGCCAUGCUGCUUUUCCAGAACUACAAGUAAAGGCCACAGCCAGGUCACCGGAUUGAAACUGUCUCAGGACCUCGAUGAUCUUGCCAUUCUCUACCUGGCCACAGUUCAAGCCAUUGCUGUAAGAUACUGUAAUGCCAUUUUUAAAGAGACUUAGAGCCAUCAGUAUCCUCUAGGCCACCGGCUCCCCAGGAUACAACACAUGCUUUUGUGACAGAGAUUCUUAAUUAAAAGAUUGUUUGCAAAAAAGA
rnacentral:sRNA from 1 species